rnacentral:siRNA from 1 species
UAUCGCCCAUCUCAAGCUUGC